rnacentral:rRNA from 1 species
GCUAUCGGAGUCCGAUUUAGCCAUGCUAGUCGCACGGGUUCAAGACCCGUGGCAGAUAGCUCAGUAACACGUGGCCAAACUGCCCUACAGACUGGAAUAACCUCGGGAAACUGAGGCUAAUGCCGGAUGGCGCUUCGCCGGUGGAAGACCGCGAAGCGCGAAACGCUUCGGUGCUGUAGGAUGUGGCUGCGGCCGAUUAGGUAGACGGUGGGGUAACGGCCCACCGUGCCUAUAAUCGGUACAGGUCGUGAGAGCGAGAGCCUGGAGACGGAAUCUGAGACAAGAUUCCGGGCCCUACGGGGCGCAGCAGGCGCGAAACCUUUACACUGCACGACAGUGCGAUAGGGGGACUUCGAGUGCGAGGGCAUACAACGCCCUCGCUUUUCUACACCGUAAGGUGGUGUAGGAACAAGAGCUGGGCAAGACCGGUGCCAGCCGCCGCGGUAAUACCGGCAGCUCGAGUGAUGGCCGAUAUUAUUGGGCCUAAAGCGUCCGUAGCUGGCCGAGCAAGUCCAUCGGGAAACCCAGGAGCCUAACUUCUGGAAGUCCGGUGGAAACUGUUCGGCUUGGGACCGGAAGACCCGAGGGGUACGUUCGGGGUAGGAGUGAAAUCCUGUAAUCCUGAACGGACCACCGAUGGCGAAAGCACCUCGGGAGCACGGAUCCGACAGUGAGGGACGAAAGCUGGGGUCUCGAACCGGAUUAGAUACCCGGGUAGUCCCAGCCGUUAACGAUGCCCGCUAGGUGUGGCGCAGGCUACGAGCCUGCGCUGUGCCGAAGUGAAGACGCAAGCGGGCCGCCUGGGAAGUACGUCCGCAAGGAUGAAACUUAAAGGAAUUGGCGGGGGAGCACUACAACCGGAGGAG